GGUUCCUGCUGGUUUCACAUUUAUUUUAAUAAUCAGAUGGAGCUUCAAUGUUUCAUUAAAUGUGAUUAUUAUUAUAUUUUACUGUAGAUAGAAGCUGAUUCUGAGUCAGCCAGGGGGAAGGACUGACAGAAAGAGAAUAAAAUCCAGGAUUUAUUACAGGAAUCUUUCACUGCUUCCUCUACUAGUAGUUUAAUGUGUUUCAACCUCUGGUUCCCAACCUUCAGGGGUCGCUGGGUCAGUCUGACGGGUCACCAGGUGAAGAACAAGUCUUUAGUUCAUAUAAACUGCCAGUGGUUCCAGGUGGGUCCAGGGGUCCAGCUUCAGGGCACCUUGACCCGGGUGGAGCUCCAGUAGACGGGCUGAGGGACCAACACCUGGACGUGACACGUUGGACAUGACUGUUUCCUCCACAGCCACUCCUCGAUGCACUGCAGAGACACAUCACAGUCAGGUACACCUCCAUGACACACCUGGACACCUUUAAAGGCACAUUUACCUGCACAAAGUCACCUCACACCUGAAGAGGAUCAGGUAGAGCAAACAGAGGCUCCCUGAGGGCUCAGGUGUGAUCAUCGGGUGAUCUGGCCAUGGUCUGACCUGUGUGUGUCAGGUUUAUUACCUGAGUUUAUCAGGUGUGUUACCUGUGUGUCAGGUGUGUUAGCUCUUUGUGGAAGGUGUGUUACCUGUGUCUCUCAGGUGUGUUACCUGUGUUUCUCAGGUGUGUUAGGUGUGUUACCUCUUUGUGGAAGGUGUGUUACCUGUGUUUCUCAGGUGUGUUAGGUGUGUUACCUCUUUGUGGAAGGUGUGUGUACACUGCAGCUCUCUGGUGCCGCCGCUGCCUUGCUGUAAGUCGUUGUGACAGAUCAGACAAACGCUGUAGGCGUCGCUCUGCAACACAAACAGGGUUUCUGGUCACAACGCGUCCUGUUGGAUUAAAAUCAUCGUGUCUUUAAACCCACCAGAGACAUGACGUUUCGUCUCCUGAACUGGCUCCGCCUCACGGAGGGCGUGGCCUCUGGGAUUGUGGGUAUGAGGGAGGGUCUUCGCUCAGCGGUGGGGGCGGUGGCUUCCUGUGGGGAUGGAAGGAGGCGGCGGGAGGAUGAACGAUGCAGCAACACCUUCGCCGUUAACGGAGCCCGAGUGGACGAGUGCAGACGAGACAGCUGCAUGGCAGAGAGCGUCGACUGGAAACACAAUCAAGAUUCAUUUAGCUUUUAGACACAUCAGAGGAAUUUACAGGUGAAUCACCAACACAUGAUGGUAAAUAUCAUAAAUAAAAGACCAAAUAUAACAACAGAUUUCAAACAGCAAGACUCAGUAAAACCUGCAGUUUACAAAUACAGUGAGUACAGAUCUGUGAAGGAUUGUGACUUCAAUGAAACUGCAUUAUUCAUGUAGAACAGCAGAAUAUUUCCUCUGAUGAUCAGAAACUCACUCUUUACAAAGACUGUAUUUACAAUUCAGAACCCAAGGUAGAACCUCAGAGAACCAAAGAGUACAGCUGUGAUCCCAAACAGUCUGACUGAUGAACAUGGUUCUAAAUGAGCUGAGAACAGCAGAACCUUCUCAGUCCUGGACCUAUGGACUGGGUCUAUCUAUGUCUGCAUCAUGGCUUCACAUGGAAAAGAACUGAACAGAGGAAGAGAAACAUCUGACUGAGAGACUCGACAAAGAUGGAAAAAGAUCCAGGAAGAUCAGUGAGACACUAAAAACCAGUGAAGCACAGAGUCAGCAGUAAUCAGGAGGUCUAGGAGGAGUCAUAGUACCACUAAUCAGGAGGUCUAGAAGGAGUCAUAGUACCACUAAUCAGGAGGUCUAGAAGGAAUCUUAGUACCACUAAUCAGGAGGUCUAGAAGGAGUCUUAGUACCACUAAUCAGGAGGUCUAGAAGGACUCGUAGAACCACUAAUCAGGAGAUCUAGAAGGAGUCAUAGUACCACUAAUCAGGAGGUCUAGAAGGAGUCAUAGAACCACUAAUCAGGAGUUCUAGAAGGAGUCAUAGUACCACUAAUCAGGAGGUAUAGAAGGAGUCAU
ensembl:lncRNA